ensembl:lncRNA
CCAAGAGGCCCCAAUCAAGACCCUGGGCAGUCAGCGCCCGGCUGCUCCUCUGCACAGCGGACGGUUCCCCAGCCCGCGCCCCCCAGUCUCCCUAAAAGCUGUGUGCGGUGUGCAGAUUCGAGCUCGAAUUCUCCGCGCUCUAUCACGCCCCUGUCCUAACUUGAAGGGCUACGAGAAGGGCAGGACGAGCGUCUAGACGGGCACGUCCCCUCAGUGAGUUUACACGACUUGCUAGUCCCUACUGCUCUCUCCCUACAUGCGAUAAAGGGCAAGAGUACACAAUAUCGGGCUGCAGUUUCAGAACUGACCUUUCUCCGUUCUGAAAACCAGUGCAUGUGCGCGCCGCCGGGCACCAGCCCUUGGGCGAGUCCCAGCUUACUCCUCCUCCGGGGAAGGGGAAGCCUGGGCCACCGGGCUCCGCGACCAGCUAGCGACAGCUUUAGAUUUACAGAGAAGUCGAGCAGCUGCUACAGCGCUCCGGCGCCAGAAGCGUCCUGCCUUCGC